rnacentral:lncRNA from 1 species
AUGAUAAUAUUUAUUGUUGCUGAGAAGAAAGCAGAAGUAUUAUUGUUGCUAUUGAAUGGAUUGGUAAGGGGCAUUAAUUUGCACACUGAUGAUGUUGUGGGCUAUCUGACUGCUCUUUGGUCAAUGUCAUUUGAUUUCUUUCGAUUUUGUCACAUCUAAGCUGUAAAAUUUUCCACUGGGGAUGCCCAGGCCCCCCGCCUCCUCCAACCUUGCUUCUCUCUAAUUUUUGGAUGCUAAGUCUAUUUCUUGCAAACUCUUUUCAACUUGCAUAGCUUUCAAGGGCUCUUACAUUUAAACAAGAUGGGACGUACGUACUCCGUUUGACAUGCCGUUUAAUAUAUAAAACUUCAAGUAAAUAAUAUGCUAUAUAGAGAUCGGUCAAUAUCACAUUUCUCAACUAUUUAAUAAUUUCUCUAAAAUCAUAUGUAUCAUUCCUUAAAAAACAAGUAUGAUCAAGUCAAUAAACUUUUUGUUUUACUAUCGUUCGCGGAACUUCAAAAUAUUUUUACAAGCUUCCAUUUUUUGGAGUGACUAUGUGACUAAUCAUAUGUGAUGUUUAGUUAUACUUAAAAGCUCCUCACUUUUCUCCAAUAAUAUAUUUUGUGAGAAUCGAAUUUAAUAAACUUUUUUGUUAAUUGUUAACUCAUCUUGAAUCUUUAUUAUUUAUCUACAUCAAUAAUUUUUUAAACUUUUAUUACUUUAGAGUUUUUUCCAACUUUCUUUCAUAGAUUGUUUGGUUGUUUAGAUUUAAGAAAGAAGGAAGAAUGGGAAAGACGGUUACCAAAACCUCUUAUUUAAUANNNNNNNNNNNNNNNNNNNNNNNNNNNNNNNNNNNNNNNNNNNNNNNNNNNNNNNNNNNNNNNNNNNNNNNNNNNNNNNNNNNNNNNNNNNNNNNNNNNNGGAACUAUAGUGACGGCAAAAAUAUUUAUAUAAAUGGAUAUUGGCUGAUAAAAUAUAUAACUGAUAAAAGAUGAAUAUGUAAAUGAGUACUCACUAUAAUUUAAACGAAUAUAGCUAUAGUAGUUAAUUAACCUUGUCUCCGGACCCCAUUGUGUCGUCAAAAACCGAACCUACUUCUUUCUUCCUUACAAAUCCAACACCAUAGACCUAUACCUUGCAACCCCAAACCACACCUCAUUUACAACUAAAAUUUUCACCAUAUCACGUGACAACUAGACAAAAGAAAUAAAUUAGAUGUAAGUAAUAGCCAGCAAAAACAUUUGUUAAUGUAAUUGUUGUUAUUUAAAACAUUUAAGUAAAUUAUUACUAGCAAAUCAGGGUUUGGCUUCAAAGGAGGAAGAUCUUGUAAAAAGGAAGAGCAGGUGUUUAAGGUAAGAGAAAGACGAUGUUCAUUUCAUCUUUUCAUUUUUUUUUAAAAAAAAAAAUAGUAAUAUGAUUUUCUAUUAAAAAAUUUAACCAGUGGUUGAAAGUCAAGAGAUCACUAUUAGAAAUUAUUAACCAUUAAUUAGGCAGCUAACACUUAAUUAGCAGAAGAAUCCUUUGUAACAAUACUUGAAUUUUGGAGUAGCGAAGGUUUGAAUAGUUCACAGGAUGUCUUAAAUUAAAACAUCGUUGUCACUAUUAUACAUAAAAAUAAUAAUACUUGAAUUUUGGAUUUAUAGUUGAGGUUAUUUUUUCUACUUUUGUUUACUUUUUUUUUUUUUUGAAGAAUCUACUUUUGUUUACUUAAUCAAGAUGGUUUUGUAUACUUUCACUCGUAUAAUCUAAUCAACAUUUGUCUCAACACAAAUGAACAAAACUUAUUUCCUCAUCUUUUAUCAUUGUGCAAUACAUUCGCUACCUUAAAUUUUUUAACAUAUUAUUAUGCAUCAAUGAAUUUUUUUAAAACCCCGAAUUCUAGAAUCUUAAAAACGUUUGGAUUCUUUAUUCGUGCAACGCAUGUGUAAAAUUUUCAUGUUUAAACUUUAAAAACCAAAAUAGAAAACUCAAUAUCGACCCGUACUUUCACAGUGCACAUGCUAAGAACGAACUAAUGUUAUUAAUAUUUUCUUUAAAAAAAAUGCAAACUCAGGUGUCAGUAUGUCACUGUCCUCUGAUAAUUUGUAUAUUAUAUACAUUGUUCGCAUUGCAUUGCUUGCCCGAUUGAGCACCAACUCCUUCACCUAAGGCGAUCUUACUAAAGAUCAAAUGAUCAAAUAAAGAUUCCUGGGCGAGAUAAUUCGUUGAAUCCAGGGGAAGGAAGGAAGGAAGGAUCAUAUUCAUAAAUAACACAAAAUGUGGGGUAAAGGAAAGAAAAAGACGAGUAGAAAGUGAGAAUAUUUUUUAGAUUGUUUUGACAAUAUAUAUGGAAAUCUUGAUCACAUAACUUUUUUAAAUAAUUAUAUAAUAUUAAAUCUUGAUUAUUCAUGUAUAAUUAUAUGAUCCAAAUUUACUCAUUUUAAUCUUAAUUCUUGUAUAAAAAUAUCCUCUCACUAUAUAUGUCUUAUGUAUGGUUGUAUACUUGUAUGGUCUAAAUUUAUCUCUCCCACGAGUCUUACAAUUUUUUUUCUUUUCUUUCUUAUUUACUUAUAUAUAAAAAGAGAAAAGUUUUUAUUUAUUUAUUAAUGUAUAUCUUCCUCUCUACUUUUCAUUCCACUAUUUUGUUUACGUUCUAAACGAAGUGAAAAGUAAAAAAUCCAUAAUUAUUUUCAAAAGAUCAAGUUAUGAGUUUAUUUAGAAAAAAUUUCUCAUAAACACCUAGAAAAAGAUAAGAAAAAAAAAACAAAAAACAUUCUCCAUAAAUUAAAAUUAGCUUAUGAAAAGCUAGUCUAUAAAAACUCACAUAUUAACUUCUUCAAAAACUUAUUUUUAACUUAUUUAUAAGCUAACUUUAAUUAAUUAAUGAAGAAACUUUUUAUUUUCUUUUUUUAUUAUUUUCUUCUUAUACUUCCUUCCUUCGUAUCUAAUUAUAAGACCAUUUCAAUUAAUUCAUACUUUUUAAAAAAAUAUAAUUACUUUAAUUAAUCACAUUAAAUUUAUCAAUUAUUUAUAUUAUCAUUUCAAUAUAUCUUUUUUUAUCUCUAUAUCCACUUAAUUAUUUCUCAUAAAUGUUUGGGAAAAAAAUAAUUAAGUAAAUAUAUGAAAGAAAAAAAAAAUUAAUACAUCUAAAAAUUAAAAAAUAAUCUUAUAAAAAGGACAAACAAAUUUAUAAAAAAACCUAACGAAAUUUAUGUGAAUCAAGUUAACCUUUUAUUUCUUAUAAAAAUUAGCCUUUUAUUCAUUUAUUAUCAGCCGUCAACCUUUUUUUUUUUUAAUCAUAUGGCUAUAUGUGAUAUAAGUGAUAAGUGAUUGCAACCAAGAAUUCAGAGUUAACUUUCAUUUAUCUUAUAGAAGCAAGUUCAAUUUCCCUAAUUAAUGUUAAUCAAUUACUAAAAUCCCAUAGAUUUCUGGCCCAGAGGGAACAUUAGAGUAUUUUAGAGUAUUUGCAUCUAGGAAAAUCUAUUUGCAUUUUAAGUCUCUCUAGGUAAUUAAACUUCUAUUGACAAUCCUAGUUUAAAAUAUUCUAUAUUUUUAUCUUUAUUUUAUGGUAUUUAUUGACUUGCUAGUCAUUUUAGUGAAAUUUUCUUUUUUAACUAUUUAUUUUUUAUUCAUAAAAUUCACAUCUAAAACUAUUCUUAAUGAAAUCAAAUUCAGUUCCAUAUAAAUUAAUGACAUGUUAGUAAGUGUAUAUUUAGAUUCUCAUCUACGAUGCACAUCUCAAUAAAAAUCUGCAUUAAAAUCAAUCAAAAUAAAUGAAAGCUACUUAACGCACGUCUACUCCCUCAUAGUGUUAACGACAGUGCUAUAUGGUACGAAGAUCAUUUGCAUGAACAUGGUACGAAGUGUAUGUGUCAAAAUAGUAUUGGCUAAAUAUAAAAUUAAAUAUUUAAACGGGAAUCAAGGGCGGUUAAAUUAAAAGAGAUUUCCUACUCAUAUAAUUAGUAAACAAUAGCAUUUUCCUAGUGUUAAACCAAACACGGUAAUAUAUUUUAUUAUUUUACUAUCUUCUAAAGUUUUUUUUUUUUUAAGUAUGCAAUAUCCUGAGUCCUAUACCACGUUACUCAAGCAACCACCGAGCUCUAAGAGCUAGCCAACAAUGCGUUGAACAUUAAAUCCUUCGCAUCCUUUUAAAUCACAUACCAAAUUUUGUAGUGACCUCUUUAGACACUACACUAGGCUAUGGGUGUUACUAGUGUUUUCAAAAGGCAAUAUAUAUAGGAUACAUAGAACAUGUAAUUAGAUCAGGUCUCGCGAGUCAAAUAAAAAUAACUUUUCCUUUUAAAGAUGUCUCCAAAUACCUCUUUAUCCCACUUGGUUAGUUGAACGAGCCAAGGUUUUACUUGUUAGGGUGGAGAGAGGUUUUCAAAUUCUCAUGCCUCAUUCAAAAAGCCUUAAACCAAGAAGAGGGAUCCAAUUAAUAUCCGAAAGCACUUUUAUUUUAUAAAAAAACCAUAAAAUAAGUUUCUUUUAUGCAUAAUUAAAAAUCAUCUUUAUAAAAAAAAUUAACUUAUACAUAAAUUAAUUUUUAUCUUCUUUUUGCAAAGUAUUUUUUUGGAGAAAUUUGUCCAAUCAAACCUUUGUUGCCUCAAAUACACCCAACAACACAUUCUUUGUUGUUUUUAACAUUAGGUCGAGUGACACUCAUUUCAUUUUCUAUCAGAUAUGUAAAAUAAGCAAGCAUUAACUAAAUAUAUGAACUGUAAAAUACGAUUAAUGACCACAACAAACAAGACAGUGCUUUGAAUUUUGAUGACAGUAAUCCUUAGGCCCCCUCUAUCUAUGAAAACCUCGCGCUGUCCCAACAUACACACAUUCAGUCAUUCACCAGUGGCUAUGUUGAUAGGGUAUCAUGCACACAACGUCCCCACAAGGUUACAGAGAUUUUUAGGAAUUAAUUAAGACAUUUUAGGUUUUUUUAUCAUUUUCUAUUAUUUUUUUUCAAUAAUAAAAUUUCAUCCAUAUAUGUAUUUAUUUCAUCUUCCAAUGUCACAAAAUGGAUAUUGGGUGUUUACAAGUUACAACUAAUUAUUAAUAUUCAUAUCUAGAACUGAAAAAAAAAAAUCACGUCUAGAAUCACAUUGAGAGAAAAAAAAAUCUCCGCAAAUUUUACUUAUAUUAGAUUUAAUGUGCUGGUGUAAGUUAUAUUCAUCUUAAGGAGGAGGUUCAUAUUUUAAAAAUAAGAAGAAAAUUAUAAUUUAAAAAUUUCUCUCCAUAGGAGAAUACAAUUUAAUUUACUUUAAGUAUAAUGAAAUUUAUAUUUAUAUUUACAUCAUAUUUAAAAGAAACUGUCAAAUAUUUAUGUCAUGUGAACUUCUGAUUCUGACUUUUAACCAUUUGGACUUUGACUUUGUUAUUUGACAAGGAUUGACAUACUUUUAAUGAUUAUAUCACCAAUGCUUCUAGAAUUCUGAAGACAAUAUUUAUUAUAUUUAUUAUUUUAUCUAUUUAUUGAAUACUUAUAAACUUACAUUUAUUAACUUUUAUCUCUCCUUGUCUUUUUCUUCUCCCUAGAAAAUAUAUAAACUUAAAAAAUAAUGUUUUUAUAAAUUUAUAUAAGAUUUUAAGUUUUACUUUAAAGAUAAAUAGUUAAUGUUAUAUGUAUUAAUCUGUAUAGUAAUAAUAAAAAUUCAUUUAUAAAUGAUGAAAAAGAUGAUUUGAGAAUUUAAUAGAAUAUUUAUAAAAUACUUAAAUCAAAUAAUGAAAAAAUUAAGAAUACAUGAAUACAUACCAAAUGUUUUACAAAAAUAUCUUAGAUAAUUGAUAUAAUUUUC